UCUACGGGAGGCAGCAGUGGGGAAUAUUGGACAAUGGGGGGAACCCUGAUCCAGCCAUGCCGCGUGUGUGAAGAAGGCCCUCGGGUUGUAAAGCACUUUCAGUGAGGAAGAACGCCUGGUGGUUAAUACCCAUCAGGAAAGACAUCACUCACAGAAGAAGCACCGGCUAACUCCGUGCCAGCAGCCGCGGUAAUACGGAGGGUGCGAGCGUUAAUCGGAAUUACUGGGCGUAAAGCGCGCGUAGGUGGCUUGAUAAGCCGGUUGUGAAAGCCCCGGGCUCAACCUGGGAACGGCAUCCGGAACUGUCAAGCUAGAGUGCAGGAGAGGAAGGUAGAAUUCCCGGUGUAGCGGUGAAAUGCGUAGAGAUCGGGAGGAAUACCAGUGGCGAAGGCGGCCUUCUGGACUGACACUGACACUGAGGUGCGAAAGCGUGGGUAGCAAACAGGAUUAGAUACCCUUGUAGUC
rnacentral:rRNA from 1 species